GACGAACGCUGGCGGCGUGCUUAACACAUGCCAGUCGAACGGAAAGGCCCUGCUUUUGUGGGGUGCUCGAGUGGCGAACGGGUGAGUAACACGUGAGUAACCUGCCCUUGACUUUGGGAUAACUUCAUGAAACUGGGGCUAAUACCGGAUAGGAGCUCCUGCUGCAUGGUGGGGGUUGGAAAGUUUCGGCGGUUGGGGAUGGACUCGCGGCUUAUCAGCUUGUUGGUGGGGUAGUGGCUUACCAAGGCUUUGACGGGUAGCCGGCCUGGGAGGGUGACCGGACCCAUUGGGACUGAGCUACGGCACAGACCCCUACGGGAGGCAGCAGUGGGGAAUAUUGCAUAAUGGGCGGAAGCCUGAUGCAGCAAAGCCGCGUGGGGGAUGACGGCAUUCGGGUUGUAAACCGCUUUCGCCUGUGACGAAGCGUGAGUGACGGUAAUGUGUAAAGAAGCACCGGCUAACUACGUG
rnacentral:rRNA from 1 species